CUCGAUCUUUCCCCGUCAAAGAAAUGUACCAACUGUUGGAGCAGAGACUUUCUUGAGAGAAAGUGCAGUUAAAAUGUGCAGGGCUCUGCAAUGGCCUAGAAAACUGAAGUUUGAUUUAUCUGUUUACUGAAGAACUUCCAGAUCCAUUCAUUUGUUGAACUUUCAUGUUAUUUCCAAUACUGUGGGUGCCUAACCCCAAUGACGAUAUGAACAAUAACACUGGUAGAAGCACAAAAAUGCGUAGCAUACCUGCAGUAUCCCUGGUGCAGGUGCAGGAACAACAGCAGCCACAUUGGUAACAUCUUCCUGAUCAUCACCCUGCUUAUUCCCAGUUGGAAGUUUCACAGUUGAUGUAGAUGCAG